rnacentral:rRNA from 1 species
UACUAUAGCUUGACACUGAACAUUGAGCCUUGAUGUGUAGGAUAGGUGGGAGGCUUUGAAGUGUGGACGCCAGUCUGCAUGGAGCCGACCUUGAAAUACCACCCUUUAAUGUUUGAUGUUCUAACGUUGACCCGUGAUCCGGGUUGCGGACAGUGUCUGGUGGGUAGUUUGACUGGGGCGGUCUCCUCCUAAAGAGUAACGGAGGAGCACGAAGGUUGGCUAAUCCUGGUCGGACAUCAGGAGGUUAGUGCAAUGGCAUAAGCCAGCUUGACUGCGAGCGUGACGGCGCGAGCAGGUGCGAAAGCAGGUCAUAGUGAUCCGGUGGUUCUGAAUGGAAGGGCCAUCGCUCAACGGAUAAAAGGUACUCCGGGGAUAACAGGCUGAUACCGCCCAAGAGUUCAUAUCGACGGCGGUGUUUGGCACCUCGAUGUCGGCUCAUCACAUCCUGGGGCUGAAGUAGGUCCCAAGGGUAUGGCUGUUCGCCAUUUAAAGUGGUACGCGAGCUGGGUUUAGAACGUCGUGAGACAGUUCGGUCCCUAUCUGCCGUGGGCGCUGGAGAACUGAGGGGGGCUGCUCCUAGUACGAGAGGACCGGAGUGGACGCAUCACUGGUGUUCGGGUUGUCAUGCCAAUGGCACUGCCCGGUAGCUAAAUGCGGAAGAGAUAAGUGCUGAAAGCAUCUAAGCACGAAACUUGCCCCGAGAUGAGUUCUCCCUGACUCCUUGAGAGUCCUGAAGGAACGUUGAAGACGACGACGUUGAUAGGCCGGGUGUGUAAGCGCAGCGAUGCGUUGAGCUAACCGGUACUAAUGAACCGUGAGG